rnacentral:rRNA from 1 species
GUGGGGAAUCUUAGACAAUGGGCGCAAGCCUGAUCUAGCCAUGCCGCGUGAGCGAUGAAGGCCUUAGGGUUGUAAAGCUCUUUCGCUGGGGAAGAUAAUGACUGUACCCAGUAAAGAAGCCCCGGCUAACUCCGUGCCAGCAGCCGCGGUAAUACGGAGGGGGCUAGCGUUGUUCGGAAUUACUGGGCGUAAAGCGCGCGUAGGCGGAUUGGAAAGUUGGGGGUGAAAUCCCGGGGCUCAACCUCGGAACUGCCUUCAAAACUCCCAGUCUUGAGUGCGAGAGAGGUGAGUGGAAUUCCGAGUGUAGAGGUGAAAUUCGUAGAUAUUCGGAGGAACACCAGUGGCGAAGGCGGCUCACUGGCUCGAUACUGACGCUGAGGUGCGAAAGCGUGGGGAGCAAACAGGAUUAGAUACCCCGGUAGUCC